CAGUAGCCACGGUAAUACGUAGGGUGCGAGCGUUGUCCGGAAUUACUGGGCGUAAAGAGCUCGUAGGCGGUUUGUCGCGUCGUCUGUGAAAUUCUGCAGCUUAACUGUAGGCGUGCAGGCGAUACGGGCAGACUUGAGUACUACAGGGGAGACUGGAAUUCCUGGUGUAGCGGUGAAAUGCGCAGAUAUCAGGAGGAACACCGGUGGCGAAGGCGGGUCUCUGGGUAGUAACUGACGCUGAGGAGCGAAAGCGUGGGUAGCGUACAGGAUUAGAUACCCGAGUAGUCCCUGUCUCUUAUAA
rnacentral:rRNA from 1 species